rnacentral:rRNA from 1 species
AUCCUGGCUUAGGAUGAACGCUGGCGGCGUGCCUAAUACAUGCAAGUCGAGCGAGAAUCAGUGAUGCAGAGAUUCGUCAAAGCGGAUCUGAGGAAAGCGGCGGACGGGUGAGUAACGCGUAGGCAACCUGCCCUUAGCAGAGGGAUAGCCAUUGGAAACGAUGAUUAAACCUCAUAAUGCUGUUUUAACACAUGUUAUGACAGCCAAAGAUUUAUCGGCUAAGGAUGGGCCUGCGUCUGAUUAACUAGUUGGUGAGGUAACGGCUCACCAAGGUGACGAUCAGUAGCCGACCUGAGAGGGUGAUCGGCCACAUUGGAACUGAGACACGGUCCAAACUUCUACGGAAGGCAGCAGUAAGGAAUCUUGCACAAUGGGGGAAACCCUGAUGCCAGCAACGCCGCGUGAACGAUGAAGGCCUUAGGGUUGUAAAGUUCUGAUCUGUGGGAAGAAGAAGUGACGGUACCACAGGAGAAAGCCCCGGCUAAAUACGUGCCAGCAGCAGC